rnacentral:rRNA from 1 species
CCUACGGGAGGCAGCAGUGGGGAAUAUUGGACAAUGGGCGCAAGCCUGAUCCAGCCAUGCCGCGUGAGUGACGAAGGCCUUAGAGUUGUAAAGCUCUUUUGGCGGGGACGAUAAUGACGGUACCCGCAGAAUAAGCUCCGGCUAACUUCGUGCCAGCAGCCGCGGUAAUACGAAGGGAGCUAGCGUUGUUCGGAAUCACUGGGCGUAAAGCGCACGUAGGCGGAUUUGUUAGUCAGGGGUGAAAUCCCGGGGCUCAACCUCGGAACUGCCUUUGAUACUGCAAGUCUGGAGUCCGGAAGAGGUGGGUGGAAUUCCUAGUGUAGAGGUGAAAUUCUUAGAUAUUAGGAAGAACACCGGUGGCGAAGGCGGCCCACUGGUCCGGUACUGACGCUGAGGUGCGAAAGCGUGGGGAGCAAACAGGAUUAGAUACCCGAGUAGUCC